UAUUACAGUGUGGAUCCAUGAGAAAACACAGAAUCUGUAACUUUGGAUCCUCCACAGAUGCAUCCGUAUAAAUAACGGAGUACCCCGUGAUGAAGAGAUUGUGAAGGCAUGCGAAGAGAGCGAUGUCACGCCCAGCGAACUAUGCUUUCCGCGCGAGAUAACAGUGUGGAUUGACCCCAUGGAGGUGUGUGCGAGAUCAUCAGAGAACGGCCGGCCGUUCACUAUCGCCUGUUUUGGAGACGGCAAUCCGGAGGAAAAACAGGCGGACUCCUCGGCGGACUCGGUAAACCUGGACACGUCCGAUUACCACUCUGCUACCUCUUCGGAUUGUAGUUCCACUGCGUCCAGUGACACAGAAGAGGAGGCAAAGGACGGCGAGACGGAGGGAGAGCAGAAAAAAGAAGGGAAGGCUGUCGUCAAGGAGAAUGCAGCAGAAGGCUAUAGCUACACGAUACCAAUGGUUCCCAGGAUUCGGAAGCGGCACGGGGAGGGAGCAAAUACGAUUAAAUACGUCAGAAAUAUGCUUCCUGCCACCCUCCAGUACUUCUACCACCCUGCACCAGUGUGGCCUCAGUACAAGAAGGGCGCUCCAAUGUUUCUCAACACAGUGUGCGCGCCUCCGCCGCCUCCACCCCAGCAGACUACUCAGGACAUCUCAGCAAUAUCCUUCACACCAAAUAUAUGUGUCUCUUCAGGUGUUGUUUCUUUUGUUAUGUCAAUCUGUCGUUUCUCUGA
ensembl:lncRNA